GUGCUUACUUCUGCAGCACAGAUACUAAAAUUGGAAAGAUACAGAGAGGGUUAGUGUGGCCCCUGCACUAGGAUGACACACAAAUUCGAGAAGCAUUCCCUGUUUUG